AGUGAACGCUGGCGGUAGGCCUAACACAUGCAAGUCGAACGGCAGCACAGGAGAGCUUGCUCUCUGGGUGGCGAGUGGCGGACGGGUGAGGAAUACAUCGGAAUCUACUUUUUCGUGGGGGAUAACGUAGGGAAACUUACGCUAAUACCGCAUACGACCUACGGGUGAAAGCAGGGGACCUUCGGGCCUUGCGCGAUUGAAUGAGCCGAUGUCGGAUUAGCUAGUUGGCGGGGUAAAGGCCCACCAAGGCGACGAUCCGUAGCUGGUCUGAGAGGUUGAUCAGCCACACUGGAACUGAGACACGGUCCAGACUCCUACGGGAGGCAGAAGUGGGGAAUAUUGGACAAGGGGAGCAAGCCUGAUCCAGCCAUACCGCGUGGGUGAAGAAGGCCUUCGGGUUGUAAAGCCCUUUUGUUGGGAAAGAAAUCCAGCUGGCUAAUACCCGGUUGGGAUGACGGUACCCAAAGAAUAAGCACCGGCUAACUUCGUGCCAGCAGCCGCCGUAA
rnacentral:rRNA from 1 species